AUCUUCAGCCCGGGAGGACUGGACUAGGCUCGGCUGGACGCCGCCCAGCUCCGGGCGCGCCCCGGGCCGGGUUGGGCAGCGCCGGAGGAUAGACGGAAAAGCGCCCUGUGAAACCCUCGUAACCUUGGCCUUGAGGCAGUGCCAUGGCCAUGAGCCCCAACAGGUCCCCAGAGGAGAGCAUUGAGGGAGAUACUGGGAGAACAGAGUGGAAGCCCACGGAAGCUCUGUGAUGUGAGUCUCAGCGUUGGACAUGGGUGGCGAUAAUGAAGCCGACAGCACAGACAACUCGGCCGUCGCCAACACCCUCAGCCAAGACCCCUCGGUGCCAUGUCACAUCAGCUAGCACGUGGAGACCACCAGCAUGCCCACUGCCAGAUGCACCCACAAGUCAAGGGUCAGCAGGGAGCCACCCAGUGAAGCCACUGAAUCGACACUUGUCCCAACUGGUGAGGGACAGACACUGCAGCCAAUGAGAACAGGCAACAGCAAUGAAGACAUAAACGAAAGACAUGACACUGUAAAAAC
ensembl:lncRNA